rnacentral:tRNA from 1 species
GGGGAUGUAGCUCAGUUGGUAGAAUGCCUGCCUCUCAUGCACAAGGUCCUGGGUUCAACACCCAGCAUGACCA